rnacentral:rRNA from 1 species
UAGGGAAUCUUCCGCAAUGGGCGAAAGCUUGACGGAGCAACGCCGCGUGAGUGAUGAAGGUCUUCGGAUCGUAAAACUCUGUUAUUAGGGAAGAACAAAUGUGUAAGUAACUAUGCACGUUUUGACGGUACCUAAUCAGAAAGCCACGGCUAUCUACGUGCCAGCAGCCGCGGUAAUACGUAGGUGGCAAGCGUUAUCCGGAAUUAUUGGGCGUAAAGCGCGCGUAGGCGGUUUUUUAAGUCUGAUGUGAAAGCCCACGGCUCAACCAUGAAGGGUCAUUGGAAACUGGAAAACUUGAGUGCAGAAGAGGAAAGUGGAAUUCCAUGUGUAGCAGUGAAAUGCGCAGAGAUAUGGAGGAACACCAGUCGCGAAGGCGACUUUCUGGUCUGUAACUGACGCUGAUGUGCGAAAGCGUGGGGAUCAAACAGG